rnacentral:sRNA from 1 species
UGUCAGGCUAUGAUGAGGAGUAGUAACCGGAACAACUCUGAAGAGAGCCGCCGGGUGGUGUGAAGGCGGUGGGUCAGGCCGGUGAAGCUCGCCUCUGAGCUGUCUGGAGGAAGUUUUUAAGUACUUCAGGCCGGGCGCGCCGUUAUCGCGUGAAGAGGGCAGAUAUAUGGGGCUGUGGCGCAGUGGGAGCGCGCUUCCUUGGCAUGGAAGAGGCCGCGGGUUCAAUCCCCGCCAGCUCCACCAUGAUUAUAUAUUUGCCAAAAAGGGUGGUACCGCGGGAAAACCUCUCGUCCCUUCC